UAAUAACACACACAUAGGUACUUUUAAUUAGCUGCUCUUUAUAUGUGUAGCUUUGUGGCCUCAAUAUGUGAUGAAGUACUUCUCCUGCCUCUUGUGGUUUUCCUGUGACCAACUGCUACAAAAUGAUUCAUCCCCUUCUGUGUCGUCAGAAACGUCAGAAUCUUCUUCUCAACAGAUGCCUUUGGUGUGCUGUCCUAAUGUUGUCCUUCCAUGUAAUUCAAGUACAAGGUCAGUCUCUGAUCUACUGUCUUUAUUGCUGAGUUGUGUCGUCACUGUAUGUUAUUCCAUGAUUAGUCUAUGAUUGGAUUGGGUAAUGUAUAACUGCUUAAAUGGGGGAAAAAAGGGUUAAAAAAAAAGACACAGGUAUAUUAUAUGACAUAACAUCUAAGUGUUCAGUAUAACAUGUCUUGGUUUGAAACUGGCAAUGAAACAGCAGUGAUCACAGAAUUUGUUUUGUCAUAAUUUUUGCCUGCUGAUCUCACAUCAGAGUUCAUCUGCCAAAGUGUCAUGGUCUGGUAACCCACCAGGUCACCACGCUUCACUCUUGAGCAAUACUUACCUUCAUUAGGACGUCGGUCUCGCUGCAAUCACCCAGUCUGGUUACCCUCCAUUCCUCUCUACACAUCACCUGCCUUCCUUCCUGUCAUGGCAUCUGGAACUCAUUUGGAUCUGGACUUUGACUCACCCCGGAUUGGAAACUCACUCUGACCUUUUUGGACUGCCCUCCUUCCACAUCGUUCUCCGCCUGCAACGAGUAAGCCAUUAGAAACACUUCCAGCCUUACUUACCAUUAAUCACUGGAACCCAGCUGACUCUCUGCACUCCUUUUGUUGCAGUUACUCUGCACUGCUUCACCCGAGCCACAGCCCCUCCUCCCCUUG